rnacentral:rRNA from 1 species
AUUAAAGUUGCUGCGGUUAAAAAGCUCGUAGUUGGAUUACGAAGUGGUGUUUAAAUGUUAAUUUUGGUUGGUCUGUCCUUCGGGGCAUUCUGGCUGACUUUGGCACUUACUCACUGAUGUCAUUGUCUUUGCCCAAGGUAAUUGCCUUGUGUGCAUGGCAUUGACCUUCUAUUUUAUGGUAAUGAGGUCAUCUUUCGGGGUGACUCUUCAUUCCAUAUAGUUUACUUUGAAAAAAUUAGGGUGUUUAAAGCAGGCGAAAAGGCUUCGGAAUAUAUCAGCAUGGGAUAAUAGAAUACGAUUUAGGUCGUAAUUUGUUGGUUUCUACGGCCUAGGUAAUGAUUGACAGGGAUAGUUGGGGUCGCUCGUAUUGAGUUGUCAGAGGUGAAAUUCUAGGAUUAACUCAAGACGAACUAAUGCGAAAGCAUUCGGCAAGGAUGUUUUCAUUAAUCAAGAACGAAAGUUGGGGGAUCGAAGAUGAUCAGAUACCGUCGUAGUCUCAACUGUAAACUAUGUCGACCGAGGAUCCGGUAGCGUUACAUGGAUGACCUUCCGGGCACUCUGUGAGAAAUCAUAAGUAUUUGGAUUUCGGGGGGAGUAUGGUCGCAAGGCUGAAACUUAAAGGGAUUGACGGAAGGGCACCACCAGGAGUGGAAUCUGCGGCUUAAUUUGACCCAACACGGGAAAACUUACCAGGUCCGGACACAGUGAGGAUUGACAGAUUGAGAGCUCUUUCUUGAUUUUGUGGGUGGUGGUGCAUGGCCGUUUUUAGUUGGUGGAGUGAUUUGUCUGGUUAAUUCCGUUAACGAACGAGACCUUAACCUAUUAAAUAGCUGCGCGAACCCAGGUUCUUUAACCAUUCUCUCCUUCGGGGGGGCGUGGUAUCAUCUCUUUGCUUUUCACCUUCGGGUGGGAGGUAGGGGGAUGAUAGGGCCUGAGAUGAGUUGGUGAUUUGGCUUCUUAGAGGGACUACUUGCAUCCUUAGCAAGGGGAGGUUUGAGGCAAAAACAGGUCUGUGAUGCCCUUCGAUGUUCUGGGCUGCACGCGCGUUACACUGGCGCAUGCAAAGAGUUUAAAAUUCCUGUCCUGAUGAGGUUGGGAAAUCUUUUUAAAGUGCGUCGUGAUGGGGAUAGAGCAUUGAAAUUAUUGCUCUUGGACGAGGAAUUCCUAGUAAUUGCAGGUCAUCAACCUGCAAUGAUUACGUCCCUGCCCUUUGUACACACCGCCCGUCGCUCCUACCGAUGGUUGAACCGAUGAGGACUCGGGAUGAUCUUAUUAGAUCGGUCGGUCGAAAGAUCGAUAGACUAUUAGGUCAGAACUUGUUCAAAUCUUUUUAACUAGAGGAAGGAGAAGUCGUAACAAGGUUUCCGUAGGUGAACCUGCGGAAGG